rnacentral:rRNA from 1 species
GUAGGCGGCGUGGUAAGUCAGAUGUGAAAUCCCGGGGCUCAACCCCGGAACUGCAUCCGAUACUGCCGUGCUAGAGGAUUGGAGAGGUAGCUGGAAUUCACGGUGUAGCAGUGAAAUGCGUAGAUAUCAUGAGGAACACUCGUGGCGAAAGCGAGCUACUGGACAACUCCUGACGCUGAGGCUCGAAGGCCAGGGUAGCGAAAGGGAUUAGAUACCCCUGUAGUCCUGGCAGUAAACGGUGCACGCUUGGUGUGAGGGGAAUCGACCCCCCUUGUGCCGGAGCUAACGCGUUAAGCGUGCCGCCUGGGAAGUACGGUCGCAAGACUAAAACCCAAAGAAAUUGACGGGGACCCGCACAAGCGGUGGAGUAUGUGGCUUAAUUCGAUGCAACGCGAAGAACCUUACCAAGGCUUGACAUGCAUCUNUAAGCGCGUGAAAGCGCGUGACCCUUCGGGGGAUUUGCACAGGUGCUGCAUGGCCGUCGUCAGCUCGUGUCGUGAGAUGUUGGGUUAAGUCCCGCAACGAGCGCAACCCUUGUGAUUAGUUGCCAGCACGUCAUGGUGGGAACUCUAGUCAGACUGCCCAGAUCAACUGGGAGGAAGGUGGGGACGACGUCAGGUCAGUAUGGCCCUUACGCCUUGGGCUGCACACGUACUACAAUGCCCAGUACAAUGAGAACCGAGACCGCGAGGUGGAGGAAAUCUGCAAAACUGGGCCCAGUUCGGAUUGGAGGCUGCAACUCGCCUCCAUGAAGUUGGAAUCGCUAGUAAUGGCGCAUCAUCUACGGCGCCGUGAAUACGUUCCCGGGUCUUGUACACACCGCCCGU